AGUACCGUCCAAUACCAGGUUGAGUAACGGGUCGAACCCUUUCAGAACCCCGCUAGCUGAAAGGGGAAAACAUAGCAAUGACGUCAUCAUGUAACCAUGUUGGCGUGAACAAUUAACUCACCUUCUCGUCCUCCUUGGAACUUAACCCGAAUUGGCUUGUCGAUGUAUUUGGACAAGUCGAAGAUACUCUCCUUCUUCUUCUUGUCUUUGUCCUAACAAACACACAAGAGCCUCGUCAUUUAGUCGCACGCCAGUUAGCCGCAGCAAGGCUAACCCCGGGUUAGCCUGCCUGUAAAAACCCACUAUUUUAAAACCACAUUUCACACCCGCGCCGUGUCUCGAAAGACAGCGACGUGUAGCACGCUGCUGGCGAAUAAGCGCGUCGGAGAACGUCGACGACAGCGAAGCGUGUGAAGUUUGAAAAUGAUAACGAAAAAAACAAUUCGGACUCACCGCCAUGUUUGCUGAGCGACGCGGAAGUACAACUUUGGACUUCCGGCGGGCUCGGCCAAUCAGAGUGAAGAGGGGGAGGAAAUGGAGGGAACGACGUCACUGUUUAAAAAAAAAAAGCUGAGUCACAAACAUGCUAAUGCUAUCUAAUGAAUGUAUUGUGUCGGUGCUACAGCAUUAAUACUAAUAAUGUUCGCGUUUUAUUACAGUAACAAACUAAAGAAGACAACAAUGAGCAGUACAUGCGCAUUCUAGGCAGGUGGGUGAAAGUGAGGAGACAUUAAGGUGAUACACCUAAAUGAUACAGGUGCAAUGACCGGGUGUCCCAAUACUUUUGCCGGUGGAAGAUUCCUACCUGAAAGGAAACACCACCAGCCGCGUGACCAGGAAGACCAGAGCGAAGAGGAGAAACAGCGAGUCACACGUCCGCGCCCAGUCGGCGUAGUGAAACAUCUUGGCCGACUUCAAAGACGCAGAGGAGCAGGGACAAGUAGAAGCCCAGUUCCAGGAUGUAAUACCAGGAGUGGACAUUGCUGACAUGCUGGAAAAGGAACUUCUUGGUGUUGGUGGGUCGGUCCUGGUUUCGCCUGUGCCGGAACCAGGUGAGGACCUGUGCCUGGGAGAGUCCACACUGCUUGCCUAGGAAGGCCACUUCACUCUGAGGGGGAACAAACACGCCAUUAAAGCAUCCCAGCAGGCACCAGACAUUGAUACAACGUUGUUUAUACGUACGUGUCCUUUAAAACGGACUCUGAAACAACAGUGCAAAAUAGUUGUAUUUGUCAAUUGUGACAACGUUGGUGUCUAACGUUGAA